rnacentral:rRNA from 1 species
AGUGAACGCUGGCGGUAGGCCUAACACAUGCAAGUCGAACGGCAGCACAGUAAGAGCUUGCUCUUACGGGUGGCGAGUGGCGGACGGGUGAGGAAUACAUCGGAAUCUACUUUUUCGUGGGGGAUAACGUAGGGAAACUUACGCUAAUACCGCAUACGACCUACGGGUGAAAGCAGGGGAUCUUCGGACCUUGCGCGAUUGAAUGAGCCGAUGUCGGAUUAGCUAGUUGGCCGGGUAAAGGCCCACCAAGGCGACGAUCCGUAGCUGGUCUGAGGAGAUGAUCAGCCACACUGGAACUGAGAAACGGUCCAGACUCCUACGGGGGGCAGCAGUGGGGAAUAUUGGACAAUGGGCGCAAGCCUGAUCCAGGCAUACCGCGUGGGUGAAGAAGGCCUUCGGGUUGUAAAGCCCUUUUGUUGGGAAAGAAAAGCAGCAGGUUAAUACCCCGCUGUUCUGACGGUACCCAAAGAAUAAGCACCGGCUAACUUCGUG